GAAUAUGUGCACAAUCGUCAAGUAUACCUUUCUAGAACCUUUUUUACCUGUUAAUUUGACAGUUCUGAAUCUCUUAUGCUUGAAACUUAAUAUGUUGUAUUCUUUGCGUUCUUCUGUUCUUUUAUUGAUAAGUGGUAUAGUGUAAAAAGCUCACAAGUUAAUUUAUCCCUUUGGCUGGAUAUGGCAACCAAGCAAGGUUGUAUAUGAGAAAAAUUAUGCAUGUGAUUAUUCUUUUCUUUUUCCCCCAUUUUGUAUAAAUAUCAUGCUCAAAGUUCAUUUAAUCAGUAUUUACUCAUCUUUUGUAAUAUGUUAAGAUCAUAGCAUUUGUAUUUUUAAAUAGCAGAAGUACUAGCCAUAUGACUUACUAAUUUCUAAUUUCUUAAUUGAUUAAAAUAUCAUGUUUUAAAAUUCGUUUAAUCUGCUCCUUUGUUAUCUUGGACAUAUGAUUGUAUCGGAGUAAAAUAUAAAGAAACAAGAGGCAUUCAAAUGGUUUUGUUUAUUGUAGGUUGUUCACUUUCGGUCUCUGGAA
rnacentral:misc_RNA from 1 species